CAUCCAUAUUAGAAAGGUUGUACCACUCUUCUAUAGCUACAGAGCACAAGGAUAGGAUGAAACAAUGACAUAAGUAUCUCAAACACCAGGAGAUCCAUACUGUGCUGGGACUGGAGGAUAUGCCGCUAUGGGACUGCUUUACACCUAGUGCUGUACCAGAGCCCCAUGCCAGUCAAUAGAGCUAAUUGUAAAUCUGUAUGUUCCGCUUCUCAUUAUGAUGUCAGCCACAAGCACUGAGGGAAGAAUCCAAGAUUUUGUGGUGCAGGACAUAUUCUUCUACACAAAGGCUAUACACCCCGAAGACCGCCAGCAUGAGAUAUAUCAACAGAGAAAACAAAAGAAACAUGGGACUCUGGAAGCAGAUCCUUACCUGAGAAUUCAAUCAGCAGUGUUGCUGAGGAAUAUGUGGUGCUGUACAGACUAGGAAGACUGGUCCUUUCUUCCACGAGUUUCUAAAUUAAAUGAAGAUGAGAGACAACUGGUAGAUGUAAAAACAAUAAGGGAACGAGGACAAGCUACAAGAUCACAGAGUUACAAAUGGCUGUCUGGUACACAACUUGAUAGUUCCAAUGCAUUUUUGAGAGAGAAAGAAAUUAAAUAAAGAUAUCUAAUCAAACACCACUAGCCUUCUUCCAUUCCUGUGGGCUGCAGGGGUAGAUUAAAUUAAACCUUUGUAUCUGCAAAUAUCAAAAUGAUCCAUUCAGAAUUCUACAACCAGGCCGCUAUAGGCACAAACGUGAUUUGACCAGAUAUUGUGCCAAUCAGAUGGUUGUCUGACUUGGUUGUUUAAUGGAAACUGGAUUCUAGUCACCUGAAGCCUACCAAAAAAACAAAAAAAUAAAAACAAAAAACUUACAACUUCUGACACAACAGAUAGGUGAAGAUAGUGCUGUUAUUAAAAAUAAUGGUCUCACUCAGCAGUCCCGAUCACAACUGGAGCUCCAUUGUGCUAGAGAACACACAUAUGGUCCUUGCACAGUACAGCUUAUAAUAUACAAGUUUGGGUAGCAGCAAACUAGCCUGUACUUAUUUUGUCCUUCUACUGUACUUUUUAUACAUCAAAAUCCUUUGGAUACAGACCAACUUUUCCUGCACAACAUAUUUAUUGGUGGGCCUGCCUUUAAAUAGGAAACUGCAAGCACUUUAGCUAGAUUAAAUCAGCUAGAAAGUAUGGGCAGUUCCAUUAAAAAAGCUGCAAGAAUAUAUUGUGUCUUUCCAAUGCAUCAAAUCCUCCAACCAUUGUCUUUUAAACUUUCUCCUCAGGAUACAAAAGACUCAACCUCCUUUGCAUGAUUCUACAGCACCAAGUCAGUUACACAUACCUCACAUCCAACUCUUAAUGAGAUGUUUGAUAUUUGGAGUUCUGACCUUGCUUCUAUUGAGUUCAAUGGGUGUUUUACCAACUACUACUUCAACGGGAGCAGAAAUAAGCCCCUAUAGUUAAAUUAAGCUGUUAGUACUUUAUGAACGAGUCUGAAGACACAUACAUCGUGCUUAUGCAAUGUUGGUGUUGGAAAGAAUGAACAAAUGGCUUGAUUUAAAACUGGGGUCUUUUGAAUGUUACCAUUCCAUUAAAAGGACAUAAAAAUCCAAAAUAUAAGACUAGGAGGUUAUGUCCAUCAAUGGCUAGCCUCUGUUUCUCUGGAGAUUGAUGAUAGGAGAGGGAUCAUGUGGGGAUUACCUAUUGUGUUCACUCCCUCUGGGGCAUCUGGUAUGGGCCACUGUCAGCAGACAGGAUACUAGGGUAGAUGGACCUUUGCUCUGACCUAGUAUGGCCAUUCUUAUGUAGAACUAGUCCAGAUGCCGAAGAGAAAAAUGUCCUAUCAAAAAUGCCAUCCCUAUAACAUCAAAGUUCAUCUGCAUUUCCUUAAAUCAGGAGUCUCAAACUCAUGGCCCAUGGGCUACGUACAGCCCAAGCAGUUCCACAAU